GCCGCCAUGGUGAAAUUGGUAGACACGCUGCUCUUAGGAAGCAG
rnacentral:tRNA from 1 species